CCUACGGGUGGCAGCAGUGAGGAAUAUUGGUCAAUGGCCGGAAGUCUGAACCAGCCAAGCCGCGUGAAGGAUGAAUGCGCCAAGCGUUGUAAACUUCUUUUGUAAGGGGAUAAAAUCAUCCACGAGUGCGUUUCUGAAGGUACUUUAUGAAUAAGGAUCGGCUAACUCCGUGCCAGCAGCCGCGGUAAUACGGAGGAUCCGAGCGUUAUCCGGAUUUAUUGGGUUUAAAGGGAGCGUAGGUGGGUUGUUAAGUCAGUGGUGAAAGUGUGCGGCUCAACCCUAAAAGUGCGGUUGAACCUGGCCGGCUUGAGAAGAGUAGAGGUGUGCGGAAUGCGUGGUGUAGCGGUGAAAUGCUUAGAUAUCACGAAGAACUCCGAUUGCGAAGGCAGCUCACUGGACUGCAACUGACACUGAGGCUCGAAAGUGUGGGUAUCAAACAGGAUUAGAUACCCUUGUAGUC
rnacentral:rRNA from 1 species